rnacentral:rRNA from 1 species
UGCCAGCAGCCGCGGUAAUACGUAGGCUCCAAGCGUUGUUCGGAAUUACUGGGCGUAAGGCGAGUGUAGGCGGAUCAGAAAGUUGGGGGUGAAAUCCCAGGGCUCAACCCUGGAACUGCCUCCAAAACUCCUGGUCUAGAGUUCGAGAGAGGUGAGUGGAAUUCCGAGUGUAGAGGUGAAAUUCGUAGAUAUUCGGAGGAACACCAGUGGCGAAGGCGGCUCACUGGCUCGAUACUGACGCUGAGGUACGAAAGUGUGGGGAGCAAACAGGAUUAGAUA